GGGCCAUAUGAUGAAAUACUUUAUGCAACUCACGAUGGUCAUCUGAGACACUUUGUGUGUAAUGUUGCAGUCAUGUUUUCUCUGAUGAUC
rfam:Sorghum bicolor cultivar BTx623 chromosome 1, whole genome shotgun sequence.